rnacentral:rRNA from 1 species
GGGACGAACGCUGGCGGCGUGCCUAACACAUGCAAGUCGAACGCGCUCCAUUCGGUAGCAAUACUGAUGAAGAGUGAGUGGCGAACGGGUGAGUAACACAUGAGCAACCUGCCCCGAAGACUGGGACAACACCGGGAAACCGGUGCUAAUACCGGAUAUCCCUAUCGGACCGCAUGAUCUGAUAAGGAAAUGGAUUCCGCUUCGGGAGGGGCUCGUGGCCUAUCAGCUAGUUGGUGAGGUAACGGCUCACCAAGGCAUCGACGGGUAGCUGGUCUGAGAGGACGAUCAGCCACACUGGGACUGAGACACGGCCCAGACUCCUACGGGAGGCAGCAGUGGGGAAUCUUGCGCAAUGGGCGAAAGCCUGACGCAGCAACGCCGCGUGGAGGGCGAAGGCUUUCUGAGUUGUAAACUCCUUUCAGCAGGGACGAUAGUGACGGUACCUGCAGAAGAAGCACCGGCAACUACGUGCCAGCAGCCGG